rnacentral:rRNA from 1 species
GACGAACGCUGGCGGCGUGCUUAACACAUGCAAGUCGAACGAAGUGGCUAACGGGUGAUUAACCCGUAAUCACCCUGCCCUUCAGAGGGGGAUAACAGUUGGAAACGACUGCUAAUACCGCAUACUGAAGGAGGGGAAUGCGUCUGAUUAGCUAGUUGGCGGGGGAACGGACCACCAAGGCGAUGAUCAGGAGCCGGUCUGAGAGGAGGAACGGCCGGAUGGGGACUGCGACAGGGCCCAGACUCCUACGGGAGGCAGCAGUGGGGACUCUUCCGCAAGGGACGUAAGUCUGACGGAGCAACGCCGCGUGAGUGAUGACGGCCUUCGGGUUGUAAAGCUCUGUUAAUCGGGACGCGGUACCGGAAUAGAAAGCCACGGCUAACUACGUGCCAGCAGCCGCGGUAAUAC